ACGCACGCUGGCGGCGUGCCUAAUACAUGCAAGUAGAACGCUGAAGGAAGGAGCUUGCUCUUUCUGGAUGAGUUGCGAACGGGUGAGUAACGCGUAGGUAACCUGCCUGGUAGCGGGGGAUAACUAUUGGAAACGAUAGCUAAUACCGCAUAAAAUUGAUUAUUGCAUGAUAGUCAAUUAAAAGGUGCAACUGCACCACUACCAGAUGGACCUGCGUUGUAUUAGCUAGUUGGUGGGGUAACGGCUCACCAAGGCGACGAUACAUAGCCGACCUGAGAGGGUGAUCGGCCACACUGGGACUGAGACACGGCCCAGACUCCUACGGGAGGCAGCAGUAGGGAAUCUUCGGCAAUGGACGGAAGUCUGACCGAGCAACGCCGCGUGAGUGAAGAAGGUUGUCGGAUCGUAAAGCUCUGUUGUAAGAGAAGAACGAGUGUGAGAGUGGAAAGUUCACACUGUGACGGUAUCUUACCAGAAAGGGACGGCUAACUACGUG
rnacentral:rRNA from 1 species